GACGAACGCUGGCGGCGUGCUUAACACAUGCAAGUCGAACGGAAAGGCCCUGCUUUUGUGGGGUGCUCGAGUGGCGAACGGGUGAGUAACACGUGAGUAACCUGCCCUUGACUUUGGUAUAACUUCAGGAAACUGGGGCUAAUACCGGAUAGCAGCUCCUGCUGCAUGGUGGGGGUUGGAAAGUUUCGGCGGUUGGGGAUGGACUCGCGGCUUAUCAGCUUGUUGGUGGGGUAGUGGCUUACCAAGGCUUUGACGGGUAGCCGGCAUGAGAGGGUGACCGGCCACAUUGGGACUGAGAGACGGACCAGACUCGUACGGGAGGCAGCAGUGGGGAAUAUUGCACAAUGGGAGGAAGCCUGAUGAAGCAACGCCGCGUGCGGGAUGACGGCCUUCGGGUUGUAAACAGCUUUCGCCUGUGACGAAGCGUGAGUGACGGUAAUGGGUAAAGAAGCACCGGCUAACUACGUG
rnacentral:rRNA from 1 species